rnacentral:sRNA from 1 species
GUCAACAACCCCCGUCUAAAGACGGAGGCUUGGAAACAAGCCUUGGUUGACUAGCCUAAGCAACCUUGAAAGAGGAAGCUACGUUGGUCGGGAAUCCGUUCUGUCGCAAGGCAGAACGGGAACAGGCACCGCGGGAUAUAGAUCCAAGUCCCGCGCACUGC